rnacentral:lncRNA from 1 species
CAGAUUUCUAGAAGAGACUUCUGAGGUCAGGCUGGGAUUUUGCAGAGAUCAACUGAAGAUAACCUAAAUAGUCACUCCAGACAUAUGGGAGGUUCCAUGGUUUUCUGAUUUCUGGGUCCCUAUUAAGCUGUGUUGUCCUGCUUUCAGUUAGGACAGAGUUAAUUUUCCUCCUAGUAGCUGGUAGGGUGCUAUGUUUUGGAUUAGGAUGAGAAGAGCGCUGAUAACAUGCUGACGUUUUAAUUGUUGCAGAGCAGUGUUUACACCAGGCCAAGGACUUUUCGGCUUCUCGCUCUGUCCUGCCAGCGAGCAGGCUGGGGGUGCAGCAGGAGCUGGGAGGGGACAGACCCAGGACAGCUGACCCAAACUGGCCGAAGGGGUAUUCCAUACCAUCUGACGUCAUGCUAAACAAUAUAUAGGGGUGGCUGGCCGGGGUGGGGGGCCGGCUGCUCGGGAAUAGGCUGGGCAUCGGUCAGCGGGUGGUGAGCAAUCGCAUUGUGCAUCACUUGUUUGUGCACAUUAUUAGUAGUAGUACUAUUAUCAUCAUUAUUGUUAUUAUUAUCAUGUCUUAAUCAGCUGUCUGUAUCUCAACUCACGGGCUUCACUUUCCCGUUCUUCACUUCUCUCCCAGAGAGGGAGGGGGGAGGCUGAGCGAACGGCUGUGUGGUGUUCAGCUGCCGAUCGGGUUAAACCGCAGCACGUGUACUAUAAGGAAACGUGGUACAAGAUAGGAGGGAAAAUCACCUUCAGUCAAUGUUAGUUGCUCUGAGUAAAUCAGCAUGCAGUUGUUCUCCAGAAUUAAUAUUUCACUAUGCAUGAUUUAAAUGCUGCUGAUUGAUUUAACCCUAGAGCCGUUGCACUUAAAGACUGUUAUCCUGUGAACAGGAGAGGCAUCAUUUUACAGCAAUAAACAUGACUGUGGGGCACUCCAUGGCAAGAGCAGGCAACCAGCGGCUCCAUAAAAUCACGCACUCCUUUUAUGAGGAGUUAUUUCCGGAGCGUGCCCCCCUGCGAAGCGCAGCCGCAGCCCACCGGGCUGGGAGCAGCUCCGCGGAGGGCAGCGCAGCAGCGCCUGGCCGCGCCGCGGGCGGACGGAGCCUGCCGCGGGGCCGGGGCCGGGGCCGGGGCCGGGGCCGGGGCCGGGAGAGCUGCGGGAGGCGGCGCAGCGGGGCCGCGCUGCGGGUCGGCACCAGCCCCGUGCCCGGCGGUGGCGGCUGCUGCUCGGCUGCCUCGCGCCGCUUCCUCUGCUGCCCCCUCCCAGCCCGCGUUUCUCAGCACAGUCUUGAAGCAUUUAAGGCGUUGGACAUCUCGGCUGAACGAGCAAAACUGAAGCACCUGGCUUGA